rnacentral:rRNA from 1 species
AAAGUCGUAACAAGGUUUCCGUAGGUGAACCUGCGGAAAGGAUCAUUAUCAAAAGUCAAGUCGGGGGCUGUAAAGCUCUCGUCUACACCCCAUGUCUUUUGCGUACUCUUGUUUCCUCGGUGGCGCAAGCUGCCGAUUGGACAAACCAAAACCUUUUUUGUAAUUGCAAUCAGCGUCUGAAAAUAAUCUAAUUAUUUACAACUUUCAACAACGGAUCUCUUGGUUCUGGCAUCGAUGAAGAACGCAGCGAAAUGCGAUAAGUAGUGUGAAUUGCAGAAUUCAGUGAAUCAUCGAAUCUUUGAACGCACAUUGCGCCCCUUGGUAUUCCAUGGGGCAUGCCUGUUCGAGCGUCAUUUGUACCCUCAAGCUUUGCUUGGUGUUGGGCGUCUUGUCGUAUUACGACUCGCCUUAAAUUCAUUGGCAGCCGGCACUUUGGCCUAGGAGCGCAGCACAUUUUGCGAUCGUAGCCCGUUGUACUGGCGUCCAUCAAGAACAUUUACCACGUUUGACCUCGGAU